UACGUAGGGGGCAAGCGUUGUCCGGAUUUAUUGGGCGUAAAGAGCGUGUAGGCGGUUCGGUAGGUCCGUUGUGAAAACUCGAGGCUCAACCUCGAGACGCCGAUGGAAACCAUCGAACUAGAGUCCGGAAGAGGAGAGUGGAAUUCCUGGUGUAGCGGUGAAAUGCGCAGAUAUCAGGAAGAACACCCGUGGCGAAGGCGGCUCUCGUGGGACGGUACUGACGCUGAGACGCGAAAGCGUGGGGAGCGAACAGG
rnacentral:rRNA from 1 species